UUUUUAUUGAGAGUUUGAUCCUGGCUCAGGACGAACGCUGGCGGCGUGCCUAACACAUGCAAGUCGAGCGAUGAAGUUUUCUUCGGGAAACGGAUUAGCGG
rnacentral:rRNA from 1 species